rnacentral:lncRNA from 1 species
GGAAAAAAGCAACUUGCAGUUCAACAAGAACAGCUUCUCCAGAGGUUUUCACUUAUGUUAGCUUUGGACUGGGUUCAAACACUGUGAGGACGCCUUUAUCCUGUCAGCACUUCCACACUCUGCGUUCUCAAAUUGACUUUUCAGCCCAUACGAGCCUGCUGAAGCAGUCCUUACUGUUGAAGUUGUAUCCAAAUACACAGAGCCUGUACUACAGACUAAAUUCACCUGGGGAUGCUCGGGAUUACCUGGAAGCCUCAGCUGUCUACCCUGUGCUUGAGUUUUGAUGCCAGACCCUGGCAUCUGAACUAGUCAAUGCAUUUUAAGAUGCAUCUAGUUGGACUGACAUUCCCAUCUCAAUUCCCACCAAGAUUCCUGGGGCUGGAUGUGGGUUUGCUGUCUGGUGACAGACAUCUUGACACCUAGAGAGUGUUUCAGUGCCUUACCAUUGCUGCUGCCAGGCAUAUCCUCUAAUUUUGAAAGAAAAAUUCAGCCUGGUACACCUCCUUUCUGAUUUCUGCUCCCUGGGUUUCUUUGUAAAAAGUCUGGAGGUGUCACAGCUCCAGAUGUGGCUGCACAGCAUUGGAAAAUUAUUGCAAAGACCAAGAAUCAUCCAGGCACAGCCUCCUUCAGCAGUGAAAUCUUCUUUGGCUUUUAUCAUCCAGAUUACCCUGGUGCUGAUGACUUAACAAGAUCUGACAAGAUCACAGCACAGGGCAGUAUACCUGCAGGUAAAACAAAGGUCACUUUGGAGAAGAUUUCUCACAGUCUGGAGCACAUAAAUAUUCAAGUAUUAGAUGUCUUUCAGUGGCAAGGGGAGACUGGUAGCCCAAUGAAAACAGUUGUGCCUGUUGGAGGUACACCUGGAUCUCCUCUGUGGGCUGUUGGUGGUCUGUAGAACAUCAUCAGCACAAGUCCUGAGUGCAAAUGAGUUAAUAGCUGAGAUAAUUUAGCAACCAGCUGUCAGAUGCAAGAGAAGCAAGCAUAAAACUAAAUCCUUCUUGUAACCCAAAAGGCAGUGAGAAGUUAUCUCAGCCUGUUUUAAACUGCAGGGUCCACUGUGACCCACUGUGAAGAGGAAGUUCCUGUACUACUGGGAAGAUGUUGCCCCCCUGCCUGACUUGUCCCCCCCAGAGCUACUCAGGGGUAAUGCACUGUGAUUGGAUCUUUAUAUUCAGAGGAGGACUUGGUCUCCAUUGUGGACUUCUGUGUAUGUACAGUCUGAUUUUACACUGCUUGUUCCCAUUUAUAUUCCCUCAAAGAACCCACUGCUUCAUGUGUUCAUCCUUGUGAACGUCCUCUGUUGAUGAUGCCCAGUGUAUUUCAGUCCCUUGGUAAGGCUCUGACAUAGGUCAGAUCUUCUUAUGGUCAUCUUUAGGUCAGAUGUCUCAGGUAAUGUUGCCAUGGGAUUAUACCAGAUGACCUUUAAAGGUCCUUUCUAACACAAACCAUCCUAUAAUUCUAUAAUAUUAUGCAGUCUCAUAUAAUUUUCUCUCCCAGCUACCAUAUCUGUGUUUUCACAAUGAGAAAUGCAUUUAGAUAACCAUGAAAAAAACCACAAAUCACCCAGUUACACUUGGCCUAGGUAAUGUAGACUCCUUUUCCUUCCCUUGCUGGGAGCACUAGAAAGGCAGAGGUCUAGUACUCCUGUUACCAAGUUCUUUACAGAGCACUCAGUUACCACCCUUUCUACCCCCAGCAUGCCUUCCCUCUCUUUUAGAGAACAAACUCUGUUUUGAGCAGGUUUGGACCAGUGUGACAUGGCCAAGCAAACAGCACAAAUGCUAGCAAGCAUAACAUUUUCCUCUCAGGAGUUUUUCUAUGACUUCCCAUAAAUCUUGGCUAUGAUUUUCUGAGCUCUUCCUUUCCACUGGAGACUUUGUUUGUCAUGCACAGAG